GACGAACGCUGGCGGCGUGCCUAAUACAUGCAAGUAGAACGCUGAAGGAGGAGCUUACUUCUCUGGAUGAGUUGCGAACGGGUGAGUAACGCGUAGGUAACCUGCCUGGUAGCGGGAGAUAACUAUUGGAAACGAUAGCUAAUACCGCAUAAGAGUAGAUGUUGCAUGACAUUUACUUAAAAGGUGCAAUUGCACCACUACCAGAUGGACCUGCGUUGUAUUAGCUAGUUGGUGGGGUAACGGCUUACCAAGGCGACGAUACAUAGCCGAGCUGAGAGGGUGAUCGGCCACACUGGGACUGAGACACGGCCCAGACUCCUACGGGAGGCAGCAGUAGGGAAUCUUCGGCAAUGGACGGAAGUCUGACCGAGCAACGCCGCGUGAGUGAAGAAGGUUUUCGGAUCGUAAAGCUCUGUUGUAAGAGAAGAACAAGUGUGAGAGUGGAAAGUUCACACUGUGACGGUAUCUUACCAGAAAGGGACGGCUAACUACGUGCCAGCCGCCGCAGUAA
rnacentral:rRNA from 1 species